rnacentral:tRNA from 2 species
GGCCGCCUGGCGUAAUGGCAACGCGUCUGACUACGAUAACCACCCACGGUGGAGUAAUCAGGAGAUUGCAGGUUCGACCCCUGCGGUGGUCA